UGCAUGUGUGUGUAGGUGUGUGUGAUGUCCAUUAGACCCCAACAAAGAAUAUGUCCAAAAUAUUUGUUGGUAUUCAUUAUAGACUUUUAUACUAUUAAAUAUUUUUUUUCUGAUAAGUUGUCAUACCUUUG